AUAAAGUGUUUAUUAUACUUUAUUUUUAUCUCAUACUUUAAAAUAAGCAACAAUAAAAUACAACAAGCUUGACAUACAACAAAAUAUAACAAAUUGAGAUAACAAGUCAUAAAAAAUUAUCAUUCUCCAAUUCAAUUAAUCAAGCCAUAGUUGAUCACAUCUAUGUAAGCUUCUAUCAAAAGAAUUGUUGCCAUAAAAAAAAAAAACUUUAGCAAAGGAACAUGAAAUAAACUACACAUUGGUGGCUAGAUAAACAAAAAUAUGUUAAUGUGACAUUUAAUAAAACUGACAUUGUAAUGUUACUAUGGAUUAAACU